UUAUAUAUUGGUUAGCUUCUUUGCUUGCUUAGUUGUUUCAAUUAUCUUCAGAUUCUUGUCACUAUGUAUUUUGGAAUUAAAAAAUAUAUUAAAUGUAAAAAUAUGAUUUUUUUUGAAAAAUAGUUGCAGAUUGGGCUGUAUUAUUGAAAUCAAAUAAAGAAAAAAAAUAAAACAGAAUCAGUCCAGGCCCGGUUUGAGCCUUAAUCCUAUCCCCAAAACAAAACAAUAAAAAAUUAAAAAACUGAAAUGUCAAAAGCUACUACCAUUAAAUCCUAAAAAGCAGCAUAACUGAACCUUCUGGAAGCCAUUAAUGCUGCUGUAAAAUCUUUCCCAAUCAGCAUCAAAACUUUCAAUCGUCUUGUUCCUUCACCUGCCAAAACUUCUUCAAGACGAAAUCAUACUCCCGAGGAAACCCCUUGUUCUGUCAUUUCUUUACCUGCUACCUCUCGGUUUACCUAUUUCAUUUUCAUCCCUGUCAUUCAAUCUGAUUCCCCCCUCGAUCCCUCCCACUCUGAUCUUCUGCAUAUUCUGGGACUCCCUCAACCAGGUAUAAUAUUCGUUUAUCCCUCAACGUUGCUUUUGCUAUCAUAUGCGCAAGGCUGUUUACUGCUCUUGGAACAUGUUCAAAUCUAAAUUCCUGGAAACUUGAUUGUAGUUUAUGAAUAUCACUGAUGUAGGCACACACCUUUGAUUUAUCUGGGAUAUUAG
rnacentral:lncRNA from 1 species